AGGUCCUUCAGAAAUGCUCUUAAC
rnacentral:piRNA from 1 species